GUAAUGGUAUGGAUGAAGGAAGUGGUGUAACAAAAUUCUUGAGCCUACGAACAAAAACUUGAUAAGGCGAUUAGGUGGGUGAGGUUGCAUGACAAACUUAAGCCCAAAAGGUAAACGUAAAUCGAAGUUGUAAAUCAAGAGGUUCUGGAAUGAAA
rnacentral:ncRNA from 1 species